GACGAACGCUGGCGGCGUGCCUAAUACAUGCAAGUAGAACGCUGAAGGAGGAGCUUGCUUCUCUGGAUGAGUUGCGAACGGGUGAGUAACGCGUAGGUAACCUGCCUGGUAGCGGGGGAUAACUAUUGGAAACGAUAGCUAAUACCGCAUAAGAGUAGAUGUCGCAUGACAUUUGCUUAAAAGGUGCAAUUGCAUCACUACCAGAUGGACCUGCGUUGUAUUAGCUAGUUGGUGAGGUAACGGCUCACCAAGGCAACGAUACAUAGCCGACCUGAGAGGGGGAUCGGCCACACUGGGACGGAGACACGGCCCAGACUCCUACGGGAGGCAGCAGUAGGGAAUCUUCGGCAAUGGACGGAAGUCUGACCGAGCAACGCCGCGUGAGUGAAGAAGGUUUUCGGAUCGUAAAGCUCUGUUGUAAGAGAAGAACGAGUGUGAGAGUUGAAAGUUCACACUGUGACGGUAUCUUACCAGAAAGGGACGGCUAACUACGUG
rnacentral:rRNA from 1 species